rnacentral:rRNA from 1 species
AUACGGAGGGUGCAAGCGUUGUCCGGAUUUAUUGGGUUUAAAGGGUGCGUAGGUGGCGUGUUAAGCCAGUGGUGAAAGCCUGCAGCUCAACUGUAGAGGUGCCAUUGAUACUGACAUGCUUGAGUAUGGACGAGGUAGGCGGAAUUUGUGGUGUAGCGGUGAAAUGCAUAGAUACCACAAAGAACACCGAUAGCGAAGGCAGCUUACUGGACCAUAACUGACACUGAGGCACGAAAGUGUGGGUAGCGAACAGGAUUAGAAACCCUAGUAGUCC